rnacentral:rRNA from 1 species
GCCUGUCUCAGUUCGGAUUGGAGGCUGAAACCCGCCUCCAUGAAGUUGGAUUCGCUAGUAAUCGCGCAUCAGCCACGGCGCGGUGAAUACGUUCCCGGGCCUUGUACACACCGCCCGUCAAGCCAUGGGAGCCGGGGGUACCUGAAGUGCGUAACCGCGAGGAGCGCCCUAGGGUAAAAACUGGUGACUGGGGCUAAGUCGUAACAAGGUACC